UACAGAGGGGGCAAGCGUUGUUCGGAAUUACUGGGCGUAAAGGGCUCGUAGGCGGCCAACUAAGUCAGACGUGAAAUCCCUCGGCUUAACCGGGGAACUGCGUCUGAUACUGGAUGGCUCGAGUUUGGGAGAGGGAUGCGGAAUUCCAGGUGUAGCGGUGAAAUGCGUAGAUAUCUGGAGGAACACCGGUGGCGAAGGCGGCAUCCUGGACCAACACUGACGCUGAUGAGCGAAAGCCAGGGGAGCAAACGGG
rnacentral:rRNA from 1 species